AGAGUUUGAUCCUGGCUCAGAACGAACGCUGGCGGCAGGCUUAACACAUGCAAGUCGAACGCCCCGCAAGGGGAGUGGCAGACGGGUGAGUAACGCGUGGGAACAUACCCUUUCCUGCGGAAUAGCUCCGGGAAACUGGAAUUAAUACCGCAUACGCCCUACGGGGGAAAGAUUUAUCGGGGAAGGAUUGGCCCGCGUUGGAUUAGCUAGUUGGUGGGGUAAAGGCCUACCAAGGCGACGAUCCAUAGCUGGUCUGAGAGGAUGAUCAGCCACAUUGGGACUGAGACACGGCCCAAACUCCUACGGGAGGCAGCAGUGGGGAAUAUUGGACAAUGGGCGCAAGCCUGAUCCAGCCAUGCCGCGUGAGUGAUGAAGGCCUUAGGGUUGUAAAGCUCUUUCACCGGAGAAGAUAAUGACGGUAU
rnacentral:rRNA from 1 species